GGGUGCAAUCAUACCAGCACUAAUGCACCGGAUCCCAUCAGAACUCCGCAGGUACGCGUGCUUGGGCGAGAGUAGUACUAUGAUGGGUGACCUCCUGGGAAGUCCUCGUGUUGCACCCC
rfam:Arabis alpina cultivar Pajares scaff_64181_1_contig_0, whole genome shotgun sequence.